CGGCCCGGCCCCUGCCCCGGGGGGCCCCGCUCGGAGGGAAGGCUGAGGAAUCACGUCCGUCUUCCAGGGGACAGGGAAGGGAAAUGGCUGUGAUGGAGCCAACUCAGAUUCCGGUGACCUUCGAGGAGGUGGCUGUGUAUUUCACC